rnacentral:rRNA from 1 species
UGCAGUCGAACGAUGAACCACCUUCGGGUGGGGAUUAGUGGCGAACGGGUGAGUAACACGUGGGCAAUCUGCCCUGCACUCUGGGACAAGCCCUGGAAACGGGGUCUAAUACCGGAUACUGACCCUCGCAGGCAUCUGCGAGGUUCGAAAGCUCCGGCGGUGCAGGAUGAGCCCGCGGCCUAUCAGCUAGUUGGUGAGGUAAUGGCUCACCAAGGCGACGACGGGUAGCCGGCCUGAGAGGGCGACCGGCCACACUGGGACUGAGACACGGCCCAGACUCCUACGGGAGGCAGCAGUGGGGAAUAUUGCACAAUGGGCGAAAGCCUGAUGCAGCGACGCCGCGUGAGGGAUGACGGCCUUCGGGUUGUAAACCUCUUUCAGCAGGGAAGAAGCGAAAGUGACGGUACCUGCAGAAGAAGCGCCGGCUAACUACGUGCCAGCAGCCGCGGUAAUACGUAGGGCGCAAGCGUUGUCCGGAAUUAUUGGGCGUAAAGAGCUCGUAGGCGGCUUGUCACGUCGGUUGUGAAAGCCCGGGGCUUAACCCCGGGUCUGCAGUCGAUACGGGCAGGCUAGAGUUCGGUAGGGGAGAUCGGAAUUCCUGGUGUAGCGGUGAAAUGCGCAGAUAUCAGGAGGAACACCGGUGGCGAAGGCGGAUCUCUGGGCCGAUACUGACGCUGAGGAGCGAAAGCGUGGGGAGCGAACAGGAUUAGAUACCCUGGUAGUCCACGCCGUAAACGGUGGGCACUAGGUGUGGGCAACAUUCCACGUUGUCCGUGCCGCAGCUAACGCAUUAAGU